CCUACGGGGGGCAGCAGUGAGGAAUAUUGGUCAAUGGACGAGAGUCUGAACCAGCCAAGUAGCGUGAAGGAUGACUGCCCUAUGGGUUGUAAACUUCUUUUAUAUGGGAAUAAAAUGUUCCACGUGUGGGAUUUUGUAUGUACCAUAUGAAUAGGGAUCGGCUAACUCCGUGCCAGCAGCCGCGGUAAUACGGAGGAUCCGAGCGUUAUCCGGAUUUAUUGGGUUUAAAGGGAGCGUAGGUGGAUUGUUAAGUCAGUUGUGAAAGUUUGCGGCUCAACCGUAAAAUUGCAGUUGAAACUGGCAGUCUUGAGUACAGUAGAGGUGGGCGGAAUUCGUGGUGUAGCGGUGAAAUGCUUAGAUAUCACGAAGAACUCCGAUUGCGAAGGCAGUUCACUGGACUGCAACUGACACUGAGGCUCGAAAGUGUGGGUAUCAAACAGGAUUAGAUACCCUAGUAGUC
rnacentral:rRNA from 1 species